rnacentral:lncRNA from 1 species
AAAAAACGAAACAAUAAUUUCAAGCCAAUUUUCAUUAAAACACCUACACGAUGGAUCUAUGCCAAAUUAUGAACAGUAUAACAAAGAGGAAAUACAUAUGCUUAUUUAUCUGAAACCAGAAGGUUUUAGUUUCAUUCAAUAGCAUAAAUAAAUUUAGGAUAAUAAUUAAUCUUUAGAACCCGAUCUCUCACUGAAUUAAUUCACACAUGUGAAAUCUUGCACUAACUUACUCAAUAACAAUUCCCAUAGACAUAUUAGUGAGGUCCAGGUGUUCUAUUCAAGGAUAAAAAUAUAUAGUUAGCCAUAACAUGAUCAAAAUUAAUACUAAUCACUAUGAACACUACCAAAAUCAGUGUCUAGAUUGAACUAUAUACAGCUAACAAACAUAUACUAAUACAAUGAUUAGCUAAACGUCAAUGAUCCUCAAUCAAACGGCCAAUUUCUUCAUUAAAACUUCAAUGAAUACAUCAGUGAGUUUCAAGUAGUGUACCUGGGAAUUAUAGUUCAACAAAACAAAGAGGAGUUAGCACAGCAGCAACAGAAAGCACAACUUCAAACCAGAAACAAUACAGUGAUGGAAUUUGAUUUCAAAACCAAAUGAAGCUCAUGGAGUGAUCUCAGUCACAACAACAAUUUGACCCAAAAAUGAAAUCCAAAAGAGCUUAAAAUAGCUUAAAAUGAAACAGUAACACCACAGAAUCUCAAUGCAAUCUCAAAUCCAAAACUCAAAGUGGACUGAAGAUUAUAAUGGAACAGUAACUUUCUUCUAUUUUUCUAUCAGAUUUUCCUACUGUUUUUUCUUGUUUUGUUUUGAGUUUUUUGUCUUUUUUUUUUUGUUUCUGAAUUUCUAAAUCUACUCAAAUCUAAAAAUGAGCAUGAAAAAAAAAGUAUUUUUUUAAGCUAGUGUUGGGUGAAGAAGAAGACCCCCAGCAAGGCUAUUUCUAUGCCCUUUUAUAGGAAUG